rnacentral:tRNA from 1 species
GGAGAGGUGGCUGAGUGGUUAAAAGCGUCCUCCUGCUAAGAGGAAGCGGAUAGUUAAUAUCCGUCGCAGGUUCAAAUCCUGUCCUCUCCGCCU